GGGUAGGGGAGCGUUCUGUAAGCCUGUGAAGGUGUACUGUGAGGUAUGCUGGAGGUAUCAGAAGUGCGAAUGCUGACAUAAGUAACGAUAAAGCGGGUGAAAAGCCCGCUCGCCGGAAGACCAAGGGUUCCUGUCCAACGUUAAUCGGGGCAGGGUGAGUCGACCCCUAAGGCGAGGCCGAAAGGCGUAGUCGAUGGGAAACAGGUUAAUAUUCCUGUACUUGGUGUUACUGCGAAGGGGGGACGGAGAAGGCUAUGUUGGCCGGGCGACGGUUGUCCCGGUUUAAGCGUGUAGGCUGGUUUUCCAGGCAAAUCCGGAAAACCAAGGCUGAGGCGUGAUGACGAGGCACUACGGUGCUGAAGCGACAAAUGCCCUGCUUCCAGGAAAAGCCUCUAAGCAUCAGGUAACAUUAAAUCGUACCCCAAACCGACACAGGUGGUCAGGUAGAGAAUACCAAGGCGCUUGAGAGAACUCGGGUGAAGGAACUAGGCAAAAUGGUGCCGUAACUUCGGGAGAAGGCACGCUGAUAUGUAGGUGAAGCGACUUGCUCGUGGAGCUGAAAUCAGUCGAAGAUACCAGCUGGCUGCAACUGUUUAUUAAAAACACAGCACUGUGCAAACACGAAAGUGGACGUAUACGGUGUGACGCCUGCCCGGUGCCGGAAGGUUAAUUGAUGGGGUUAGCGGUAACGCGAAGCUCUUGAUCGAAGCCCCGGUAAACGGCGGCCGUAACUAUAACGGUCCUAAGGUAGCGAAAUUCCUUGUCGGGUAAGUUCCGACCUGCACGAAUGGCGUAAUGAUGGCCAGGCUGUCUCCACCCGAGACUCAGUGAAAUUGAACUCGCUGUGAAGAUGCAGUGUACCCGCGGCAAGACGGAAAGACCCCGUGAACCUUUACUAUAGCUUGACACUGAACAUUGAGCCUUGAUGUGUAGGAUAGGUGGGAGGCUUUGAAGUGUGGACGCCAGUCUGCAUGGAGCCGACCUUGAAAUACCACCCUUUAAUGUUUGAUGUUCUAACGUGGGCCCCUUACCGGGGUUGCGGACAGUGUCUGGUGGGUAGUUUGACUGGGGCGGUCUCCUCCUAAAGAGUAACGGAGGAGCACGAAGGUUGGCUAAUCCUGGUCGGACAUCAGGAGGUUAGUGCAAUGGCAUAAGCCAGCUUGACUGCGAGCGUGACGGCGCGAGCAGGUGCGAAAGCAGGUCAUAGUGAUCCGGUGGUUCUGAAUGGAAGGGCCAUCGCUCAACGGAUAAAAGGUACUCCGGGGAUAACAGGCUGAUACCGCCCAAGAGUUCAUAUCGACGGCGGUGUUUGGCACCUCGAUGUCGGCUCAUCACAUCCUGGGGCUGAAGUAGGUCCCAAGGGUAUGGCUGUUCGCCAUUUAAAGUGGUACGCGAGCUGGGUUUAGAACGUCGUGAGACAGUUCGGUCCCUAUCUGCCGUGGGCGCUGGAGAACUGAGGGGGGCUGCUCCUAGUACGAGAGGACCGGAGUGGACGCAUCACUGGUGUUCGGGUUGUCAUGCCAAUGGCACUGCCCGGUAGCUAAAUGCGGAAGAGAUAAGUGCUGAAAGCAUCUAAGCACGAAACUUGCCCCGAGAUGAGUUCUCCCUGACUCCUUGAGAGUCCUGAAGGAACGUUGAAGACGACGACGUUGAUAGGCCGGGUGUGUAAGCGCAGCGAUGCGUUGAGCUAACCGGUACUAAUGAACCGUGAGGCUUAACCUUACAACGCCGAAG
rnacentral:rRNA from 1 species